GUCGAGCGAACAGACGAGGAGCUUGCUCCUCUGACGUUAGCGGCGGACGGGUGAGUAACACGUGGAUAACCUACCUAUAAGACUGGGAUAACUUCGGGAAACCGGAGCUAAUACCGGAUAAUAUAUUGAACCGCAUGGUUCAAUAGUGAAAGACGGUUUUGCUGUCACUUAUAGAUGGAUCCGCGCCGCAUUAGCUAGUUGGUAAGGUAACGGCUUACCAAGGCGACGAUGCGUAGCCGACCUGAGAGGGUGAUCGGCCACACUGGAACUGAGACACGGUCCAGACUCCUACGGGAGGCAGCAGUAGGGAAUCUUCCGCAAUGGGCGAAAGCCUGACGGAGCAACGCCGCGUGAGUGAUGAAGGUCUUCGGAUCGUAAAACUCUGUUAUUAGGGAAGAACAAAUGUGUAAGUAACUAUGCACGUCUUGACGGUACCUAAUCAGAAAGCCACGGCUAACUACGUGCCAGCAGCCGCGGUAAUACGUAGGUGGCAAGCGUUAUCCGGAAUUAUUGGGCGUAAAGCGCGCGUAGGCGGUUUUUUAAGUCUGAUGUGAAAGCCCACGGCUCAACCGUGGAGGGUCAUUGGAAACUGGAAAACUUGAGUGCAGAAGAGGAAAGUGGAAUUCCAUGUGUAGCGGUGAAAUGCGCAGAGAUAUGGAGGAACACCAGUGGCGAAGGCGACUUUCUGGUCUGUAACUGACGCUGAUGUGCGAAAGCGUGGGGAUCAAACAGGAUUAGAUACCCUGGUAGUCCACGCCGUAAACGAUGAGUGCUAAGUGUUAGGGGGUUUCCGCCCCUUAGUGCUGCAGCUAACGCAUUAAGCACUCCGCCUGGGGAGUACGACC
rnacentral:rRNA from 1 species